rnacentral:rRNA from 1 species
AUUGAACGCUGGCGGCAUGCUUUACACAUGCAAGUCGAACGGCAGCGCGGGCUUCGGCCUGGCGGCGAGUGGCGAACGGGUGAGUAAUACAUCGGAACGUGCCCAGUAGUGGGGGAUAGCUCGGCGAAAGCCGGAUUAAUACCGCAUACGACCUGAGGGUGAAAGCGGGGGAUCUUCGGACCUCGCGCUAUUGGAGCGGCCGAUGGCAGAUUAGCUAGUUGGUGGGGUAAAGGCCUACCAAGGCGACGAUCUGUAGCUGGUCUGAGAGGACGACCAGCCACACUGGGACUGAGACACGGCCCAGACUCCUACGGGAGGCAGCAGUGGGGAAUUUUGGACAAUGGGCGAAAGUCUGAUCCAGCAAUGCCGCGUGUGUGAUGAAGGCCUUCGGGUUGUAAAGCACUUUUGGCGGGAACGAAAAGGACUGUGCCAAUACCACGGUUCGAUGACGGUACCCGCAGAAUAAGCACCGGCUAACUACGUG